rnacentral:lncRNA from 1 species
CCCAUUAAAUUUAAAUUCUGGAUUCGAUUUGUGUAGAACUUAAACUCUAAUCGGAAAACAUUGUUCCUCCAUCGAAUAAUUAUGAAACACGAAAAAUUAAAGAAAAAUAAAAUAGUUGUGAAACAUGAACAAAUGGUGGACAAUGAUAGCAACUGAUACAUAUAUUAAGAUACUUUGUCAAGGAGAAAUGAGAAGAAACAGGUAAAAGUAAAACUAAAUAGUGCUGCUUUCUCUCAUUUUUCAUCCUUUUAGUAUGAUCAAAACCUAAACUACUUUAUUAUCUAACUUUUUGUGGUUUACCUUGGCUUUCUUAGAAGGCUUUGGCACAUCUUCAACUUGUUUAGAUCCCAAAGUAACAUGCUGUUCUUCAGAAUUUUGGGGUAAAUUCCAAUUUAACUCAUGAUCAAUAAUAUCCCAGUUGAUAUUCUUUAAUUUCUCAAUCAUUCCAUCUGACAACACAACUCUUGAAGCACACCCUUCUUUGAUCACCUUCAUCCUGUCUUCUCCUAAUUUACCGUAAACAUUAUAUUCUUAAGAACAAAUCAAUCAAAAAAGGGAAACAGAAAAGAAAUGUUCUUUUUCUUUUUUGUAUGUAAAUUUUCCUAUAAAAUUACAUUGUUUAUACAUGUAGACCAACUAGCUAGAUCUCUAUCUUUGGUAAGUUUGUAACAUUAGUUUCUCACUUCUGAUUUAUUUCCGAAAAUAUUGUAUAGACUAUACAUGGGUGGAAAAUGUAUUGAUAUUGACCAGAUAUAUAGCAACUGUACACGUAUUGUAAAAAUAAUUUUCCUAAUUUGCGUGUCAAGAUUAACAGCAUGUAACUCUUCAAAUAUGUGACCUUUGAAUUCUAGAGAUAUUUGUCUUUUUUUACUACAUUCAACUCAUUUACUUCUUCUUUUUUCCUUUAAAUAUUUCAUUGUCACACUAUGUGUGGGGUUCAAUCCAUCUUGUUUAACAUCAGUAGAUACACACAUACCAACCUAAAAAAAAAAUACUAAUACAAAUGUUAGUUUUUGGAUUCAUAUUCUCAAAAAACUCCAAAUCUAUUUUUCUAAAAAUUUUAAAAAACUCAGAACCAUGAACCCGUUAAGUUAGUACAUACCUUAGGCCAUAGCGAGACGCACAAAUCACUGUGACUUUGUGUUUGUGAGUACACCAACAAAAGCAAAAACUCAAGGAAAGUGGGCAGAAUUAUGCUUAUAACAUCGGGUCUGUAUAUAGGUUUAGAUGUGGUUAGUUUUAGUUUAAUUAGGAUCCUAGGUUUUCCCAACUUCUAGCAGUACUAGUUUAAUUUUCCAGUAAAAUCAGGAAAGAACUUUGUACUUAAUCCUGUGGCUUAUGUACCUUCAUAUAAUGUCGGGGAAAAGAGACCUCAAAUCAUAGGUUAAAUUAGCAAAGCAAAGUGUUCCCCCAAAAAAAAACAAUAAUUAGCAAAGGGAAGUAGGGUAAAUCAGGAUUCUGAAUGCCCAGCCCUACUAGGAAAAAUAGGCUUUUUAAAAAUAAAAAUAAAAUAUCCGCACUGGUUUUUGUUUCUUUUUUAAUUUAUAAUAUACGGAUUGCUUCU